GACGAACGCUGGCGGCGUGCCUAAUACAUGCAAGUCGAGCGAACACAAGAGGAGCUUGCUCCUCUUGGUUAGCGGCGGACGGGUGAGUAACACGUGGGCAACCUGCCUGUAAGACUGGGAUAACACCGGGAAACCGGUGCUAAUACCGGAUAAUCCUUUUCCUCUCAUGAGGAAAAGUUGAAAGUCGGUUUACGCUGACACUUACAGAUGGGCCCGCGGCGCAUUAGCUAGUUGGUGAGGUAACGGCUCACCAAGGCGACGAUGCGUAGCCGACCUGGGAGGGUGAUCGGCCACACUGGGACUGAGACACGGCCCAGACUCCUACGGGAGGCAGCAGUAGGGAAUCUGCCGCAAUGGACGAAAGUCUGACGGAGCAACGCCGCGUGAGCGAUGAAGGCCUUCGGGUCGUAAAGCUCUGUUGUUAGGGAAGAACAAGUAUCGGAGUAACUGCCGGUACCUUGACGGUACCUAACCAGAAAGCCACGGCUAACUACGUGCCAGCCGCCGCCGUAA
rnacentral:rRNA from 1 species